rnacentral:tRNA from 1 species
GUAGCUCAGCUGGAUAGAGCACCAGACUACGAAUCUGGGGGUCGGGAGUUCGAAUCUUCCCCGGUGCG